UACGGGGGGUGCGAGCGUUGUCCGGAAUCACUGGGCGUAAAGGGCGCGUAGGCGGCCCUGUCAGUCGGUGGUGAAAGCCCGAGGCUCAACUGCGGGACGGCCACCGAUACUGCAGGGCUCGAGUUUGGUAGAGGCAGAUGGAAUUCCGGGUGUAGCGGUGGAAUGCGUAGAGAUCGGGAGGAACACCAGAGGCGAAAGCGGCGACCUGGACAGGUACUGACACUGAACUACGAAAGCGUGGGGAGCAAACAGG
rnacentral:rRNA from 1 species